GGUUACUGACUGGCAAAGAAGGAUUCCACUAGCACUGCUUGGCUAUCAAAGCUGGGCAAUGUGGUCCUCUAAGCCACAUGUUUAGCCCCUUGACUGGGCAAACUUCAAACAAGGUGACUGAGCUCCCUUAGCUGCCACUGAUUGGAUCAGGAUGGACAACAAAUGUAGGAGGAGUUCAUCUGGAUCUAGCCUGAGCCAGUCAGAUGUCCCCUUUGAAUCCAUGCCUAUAGAAAUACAAAAAAUGGAAGCCAGAGGAUGAUGGAUCCUUGAAGUAAUAAGUCAGGUAGAUCUUGAAAAUUUUUGACUCAAUCCAUAUUGAUGAACACAAGAAUAAUUCUGGUCUACAAAGGGAGGCAAGAGAAAGACUUGGGGUGUAUUAAGAAAAACAGCUCUGUGGAAGUUUGAGUGACUCAUUGCAGAGAGGAACUGAUGAAGUCAACAGCUGCUGGAAAAACUUCUUUUUCCUUA
rnacentral:lncRNA from 1 species